CAGCCGCCGCGGUAAUACGGAGGGUGCAAGCGUUAAUCGGAAUUACUGGGCGUAAAGCGCACGCAGGCGGUCUGUCAAGUCAGAUGUGAAAUCCCCGGGCUUAACCUGGGAACUGCAUUUGAAACUGGCAGGCUAGAGUCUUGUAGAGGGGGGUAGAAUUCCAGGUGUAGCGGUGAAAUGCGUAGAUAUAGGAAGGAACACCAGUGGCGAAGGCGACCACCUGGACUGAUACUGACACUGAGGUGCGAAAGCGUGGGGAGCAAACAGGAUUAGAUACCCGAGUAGUCCCUGUCUCUUAUAC
rnacentral:rRNA from 1 species